UUUAAUGAGCCAAACACACUCAACAUUUAUUGAAAUCGUUCUGAAUUAAUUAAAUUUUUUUGUACAUUUAUUUCCACUUGAACCUUCGUUCAGUGAGUGUGUAACAUUAAUUUAUUAUCAGUACAGGGCCGUUGCUAUAUAUAUUGAUUUUACUAUGAAAUUGUUACAAAUUUUGUUCAUCCAAUUGAUACAAGCAGCUUUCAUAUUUUCAUACGUUCUGUCGCUUCCAAUUCCUGGUAUAUUUCCUCUGCCGCCGGAAUACGAAACUGACGACUAGUGGCAAGGGUGGUACUAUAUUAUAUUGGGGAUACAUCGAGUGUUUAAGUGUUAAAUCGAUUAUCGAGUUUUUAUACAUUUGUCUAUCAUUUGAUUGGAUAGACGACCUGUGAGUGGAGAGCAUAAAUUAUAUUGUUGUUGUUGUUUUUGAAUUUCUAUUUUAAAUUUGUUAAAAUCAUGGAAAAUAUAUUCAAAUCAAGUUUCAGACUUGAUAAAUAUUUCAAAUUUU